rnacentral:lncRNA from 1 species
UCAGUAGAUUUUUAAUAUCGACGUGGUCAAGCCAUGAAGGAAUCGUUUCAUUUUAUCUGUAUAUUUAGGUACAUUUAUGUACAUGUAUGUGUCUGUUUAUGCCUUUUUUCAGUUGGGAACAGAGACAGUGUGUGAAUGGGUAACAAUAUCAAUUAAAAAUUGACAAUAAAUAGAAGUGGAAGAGUGUUCAUUUUGAUGCUAGUGGAAAAGCAAGUUUGUCUGCUGUGGUGUUCUUUUUACCUUAGGGGAUCUUCUAGUUAAUUUAAGAACAUUAUAAAAACUUAGGAUCCCAAUAAAUUACUGAGCAUUGGUUGUAUCAGUCUUCAUUUGCUCCAGAAAGUAGCUGCACCUACGGUCCUAAAGAGAGCAGAAAGUGCUUUUUUCCCCAUUGGGAACAGAGUCAGUGUGCCACUGCUAAAGGAAGGAUUUGUAAAGAUGAAUGAACCGAUAAGGAACAGUAUUAAUUAAAAACAGUAAAUGAGGUCGCAGAAACUUCAGGUUUUUAGACAUUUAUAACUUAUUUUCAAUAGACACUUUUUAAACAACGUUUUAAAAAUGGCAGAAACAGAACAGCAAAAUUAAUGUGGAAAUGACCUUUCCAUCAGUGUGAAUGUUUAUUUAUUUGCUUUAAAUGUGGUAAUUAAUUACAUUUUCUUGCCCGUUUCUGUAGAUUGCCCAACAAAUGACAAGGAAUUGUUUUUGACGUCUUCAUCUUGUAACAUUAUGGAGUUAAUUUUAAUUUUGCGAGUGAGAGGCAAGUGGAAAUUAAUUUUGAAACGACUGAAACAAGAAAUUGCAGUAGUAUUCCUCCUGGAUUUGGCUUGCUCAUUGCACCUGUGCAAUUUAGAACGUUACUUUCUACAGUUAAUGAAGAUUGCCCAGCAAAUGAGUUCAGUUUGGCGCUACUCGAACAACCGUCUACAUGGGUGUGGUCUUUUCUGGACUUUGUUCCUGAUUUGAUAUUUUCAUCUUCACUU